GACGAACGCUGGCGGCGUGCUUAACACAUGCAAGUCGAACGGAAAGGCCCUGCUUUUGUGGGGUUCUCGAGUGGCGAACGGGUGAGUAACACGUGAGUAACCCGCCCUUGACUUUGGGAUAUCUUCAGGAAACUGCGGCUAAUACCGGAUAGGAGCUCCUGCUGCAUGGGGGGGGUUGGAAAGUUUCGGCGGUUGUGGAUCGACUCGCGGCUUAUCAGCUGGUUGGUGGGGUAGUGGCAUACAAAGCCUUUGACGGGUAGCCGGCCUGGGAGGGUGGCCAGCCACAAUGGGACUGAGGUAGGGCGCAGACUGCAACGGGAGGCAGCAGGGGAGAGUAUUGCACAGUGGGGGGGAGUGUGAUGCAGCGGCGCUGCGAGCGGAAAGCCCUCCUACGGGUGAUGAACCGCUGUCUCCUGAGACGAAGCGUGAGUGACGGUAAUGAGUAAAGAAGCACCGGCUAACUACGUG
rnacentral:rRNA from 1 species